CUGAUCUACUGGCUUGAGGAGGCUCAAUGAGGCCACAGCCAGCUGGUGUUCUGUUAAACAGUUCAAGAUGAUGAACAUGGAACCUCAGACUCUCGGCUCGUUCAGCCUUCCUGCGAUUCUGGAGCAGUCGGAGCCUGGCAGCACGGCAGUUUUUCUGCACUCCCUCACUAGAGAUGGAAUCACUGCGAGAGGUUAACAUAGAGCUGUCAGUCAUAAUAUCAGAUGCGUCCGUCCUCCACCCUCGCCACCUCCGAUCAGCAGCAACGUCACGCUCCUCAUCACAGGAUUGCAGCCACUUCCCUCACCACCACCACCAGCGUCUGGACCACAAGGUGGAAUACAGCCUCGUCUGACCUAAACAUCUCUACCCCUGGACUGUCCUAUUGCUGGAUGGAGUCCAAUCUCCAAAGACUUUGCACAAAUUAUAUUUAUGCAUGUUUCAUAUAUUUGUGCUGAUUGAAUUGCCUUUCUAUAAGAAUCUCAAACAAAAAAAUAAAUAUUACAAGAUUACAGU
ensembl:lncRNA